rnacentral:rRNA from 1 species
CCUAGGGGAGGCAGCAGUAGGGAAUCUUCCGCAAUGGACGAAAGUCUGACGGAGCAACGCCGCGUGAGUGAUGAAGGCUUUCGGGUCGUAAAACUCUGUUGUUAGGGAAGAACAAGUACAAGAGUAACUGCUUGUACCUUGACGGUACCUAACCAGAAAGCCACGGCUAACUACGUGCCAGCAGCCGCGGUAAUAGUAUUG